AUGUUACUCCCUCCAUCCCAAAAUAAGUGUCUCAAUUUAGUACAAAUUUGUACUAAAGUUAGUACAAAGUUGAGACACUUAUUUUGGGACGGAGGGAGUACAAG
rfam:Triticum aestivum genome assembly, contig: Triticum_aestivum_CS42_TGACv1_scaffold_343038_4DL